UGACACUGGUCCACGUUAAGACCGAUGGC
rnacentral:sRNA from 1 species